rnacentral:lncRNA from 1 species
GAGGAAUGAACGGGAUGUGACCUAAAUGCCCUAUUGACCUUGGAAAACUCCGAUACCCCCAAAUCUUCUUCUUCCCUUUUGCCCCUCUCUCUUUCCGGUAAUUUUACACUCUCAAUCUCUCUCUUACCCGCCAAAAUCAAAUUUUCGUUUUUUCUCUCUCCCUCUGUAUUUAUAUUCUAAUUUGUAUCUAUAAGCCCUAAUCUUUCUUAUCCAUUAAUUCGAUUACUGUUCCACUGAUCUGUUUCAGUUUUAUCUGUGUUUUGCAGGUUUGUAUGAAUCUGGGUCUGGGACAAUUGUAGCUGUUACUGUUUAGAACUACCAAUUUAGUUCGGUUCUCGGUCAGCUUCUUUCUAUGAAUUAUGGUUUUUAUUUGGAAUUACUGUCUGUUUCAACCUGUUUGAUUGCUAUUAAAACUGAAGUAAAAGGAAUUAAAUGAAUCUUGAAUCUUAUGUUUUGACAUACCUAAGUAUUUCUCUGGGUUCUUCAAAAAAAUAAUGUAGGAUUUUUAAGCUUCAAAAAAGAUGAGUGCUCGGUUAGUAUGAUAGAGUAAGUGGGGGAGUUUUGACUCACGAAUAGCUGACUUUGAAACAGUCUAUAUAUAUAUAUAUAUAUAUAUGUGUGUGUGUGAGUGUGUGAUUGAUAUUUUCAGAGAUCAUGGCAAACCAAGAUCUGACUCUCGGGCAAAGACGAGAUUCGCCUUUGGUUCAGAACCAGCAUUUGGGAGUAAGCCGUAGCUACAAUCUAGUGGGUGGUCAGAGUCAUAACUUAAAUUUGGAGCAGACCCAUGAACAUGAUUUGGAUUUAGGACAGACCAGUGAUCAUGGUUUAGAUUUC